AUAUACACCAAAUUUAUCAUUAUUCGCUUAAAUCCGAUGAAUGAAUCUGUGGGUUUCGCAUGACUCCAAGUAGACUGCCCUUGCCGUGUGUCCAUUAUUCAACCCGUUCCACUUUGUCAUAUUGAGAGCGUCCCGGUUACAAAUUCUUUUUUCGCUGCGGCCUCGGCUUUCAAUGCUAAGGGCCUAUAUGAGUGUCUGGAUGACUCAAAGCAGUGUAAGGUAAAGAAUGGGAAGAAGCGCCGAUGAUUAUUCCAUUAUAUACGGUCAAAUAUUGAUUGGCUUCUUUCACUUCAAAGGGCGGAGAGAGCCCUCGUUUCCAAUCCGUUCCACUUGUUCGGAGAGGACCACGAGUUCCCCACGACCUUGCGAGCACCAACGACGAUUGCUCUCCUUAGCGCACACAGGGUGAGUCAGAAGCGGGGGAAGAGAGUAAAAGAAUAUGAGGGAUGGACAAAAGAUUUUUUUUUCUUCAAGAAAGUACAAUACAAUACACAUCCUAUUUAUAGUGUGCUUCCACAACAGUUGCAGCUGGAACAAAGCGCUUCACAAAACAGUUCACAGAGUAAAUGAUAAACACAACACGUAACAUAAAAACGCGGACAGUUGUGCAAUCUUAAUCACUUUUCCCUCAUACGCUUUGUUGUUUGAAGCAGUUCUAUAUGAAAGAGGAGAGACUCAAAGUGUCCUUUCACCAAUGGGUCAGAGACGUCAUGCUCAAAAUGUAAACAUGAAGCUGUAGCAACUAUUAACGAAAAAAUAAAUAAUCAUUUCUCCUGUCCCAUGUAAAUCCGCUUCAAUUCCGAGCGGCGACUCACAGUUCCAAAUACGCAUCCGCGCUCCACACCGAUGCUCCUGUCUCCUCAACUUCAACAGCCAUCCAUGCACCCGCACCAACGCAGACUGUCCAACAGCGCCUACGUCUUCGCUGAACAAAACGGCACUGUGAAAAAUGCUGCCCAUUUCAGGCGCAAAAAAAACCCCCACAAGCGCCACGGGGCUGUCAAGCAACGACAGUCAGAUGGCACCGACAUUCCUCCCAAUCAAAAAUCCGUGCUGGCACACACGUGGUGCCGAGAAGGCGCAACCACCAAGCACAGAUUCUUCUCCUUUGACGAAUGUCGUGGCCAUAAAACGCUGAAAGCAAUCCACAUCUGGUCCACCUGACACCCAACACAGUGUGACAAAUCAAAAGACAGAAACAACAACAAGAACUUGGGCGCCAUCUUGGAAAGUAUUCAUUCUUUAUAACUACGAAGAAUUAGUUAGCUCCAAGCUAACAGCAGAAAGUGCCACACUACGACUAACUACACGUAGCUUGUCAAUUAUUCCGAAAUGCACGACAAAGCACCUGGAUGUUUAUGUGAAGAUGAAGGGAGUUGAAGAGUGCUUGCAUUCACUUGCCGGUUGGCCUCGUUGCGUAAUGAGAAGAAUAAGGAGAAGAUGGAGAGACUAAUAAUAUCUCUCCUGCACCCAUAUUGAACUAUAGCAAGCAGUUGAGAGCGCAACAUGUGGAAACGGCAGUGGAAAGUAAAUCUAUUAGCGAUCCAGACUGUGGAGGAAGCAACCUGGAUGUGAAAUAUGAAACAUUUCAGGCAAGGUGCAUCAUAUUCAAUGACUCUUUUGAAGUUACACAUUUUGAGAUUCCGACCUGGUUUUGGUUUGAGUUUAUUGCGUAUGCAGGGUUCAUACAUACUGUAGAUAUGUGCGUAUGUGGGAAAACGGGCUCGCGCCCUAUAAUCAGCAGAUGAACGCGUCGUUUCCUCUGAUCUGGUGCGGAACAUCCACUGCUGUCAAAAGUAAACAAACAACUUUCCCUUGUUACAGGAACAGAAGUGAUACAUCAAAGACGUUCACAUAAAACUCACAUAAGACUUGCGUAGAAGGUUUGUGGAUUGAUUAUCUAUUCAAAAGAACACACCAACUAUGAACCUCGGCAAUAUAUGCGUGUACUAUUGCAUUGUUUUGGACAUAAACUACCGUAUUUUCACCUUUUCUCCAAAACCAACAGUGUGCCUUAUAAUGCGAUGAGCCUUCUAUAUGGAUCAAUAUUCGGAUCUUGACGUCGUAUUUUGAAUGUUCCGUAAAGCGCUUUGUUACAGCUGCAGCGAUUGUUGAAGGCUCCAUAUCAAUUAAUCUCUUAUAUUCACUUUAGUGUAGCACCAUCUACUGGAUGCAUAGUGCAACCGCAGCCACUAUUGUAGCUUCCAUGAAAACCGUUUUAAAAUAGGCCAUUCAUUGAAAGUGCGCCUUAUACUCCAAAGCGCCUUAUCGUGCGGAAAAUAUGGUAUUCAGAAUGGAGUGGGCUUCUAUUUAUCAGUGAUAACGUUGGAAUUUUUGCUUGCACCGCGAGUCAAGGCUCUUGUUUUGUCCAAACCUCUGGAUCUCUGUAGCCCCGUCGGAUUGAUCGUUAGGGAGAUCCAAAUCUAGUUACAGUAUGUGCAUUUUGACAAUGCUGGGCAGUGACACAAAGCUGAACGAGCAGACAAAAUGGAUGUGGCCCCUGCGUACGAUAUGCGGAUUGAGGAUGUAAAAAUGCAAAACAAAAAAAAUUUUAAUAUGUCUGUCGUGGAUAUAAAAAGUCUACACACCCUUGUUCAAACGGCAGCUUAUUGCGAUGUGAAAAAAAAAAAUGACACCAAGACAAACCAUGAGAAAACUUUUCGUAGAUAUAAAAAGUCUACACACCCUUGUUCAAACGGCAGCUUAUUGCGAUGUGAAAAAAAAAUGACACCAAGACAAACCAUGAGACAACUUUUCGUGGAUAUAAAAAGUCUACACACCCUUGUUCAAACGGCAGGUUAUUGCGAUGUGAAAAAAAAUGACACCAAGAUAAACCAUGAGACAACUUUUCGUGGAUAUAAAAAGUCUACACACCCCUGUUCAAACGGCAGCUUAUUGCGAUGUGAAAAAAAAAAAUGACACCAAGACAAACCAUGAGAAAACUUUUCGUGGAUAUAAAAAGUCUACACACCCCUGUUCAAACGGCAGCUUAUUGCGAUGUGAAAAAAAAAAUGACACCAAGACAAACCAUGAGAAAACUUUUCGUGGAUAUAAAAAGUCUACACACCCCUGUUCAAACGUCAGGUUAUUGCGAUGUGGAAAAAAAGAUGACACCAAGACAAACCAUGAGACAACUUUUCGUGGAUAUAAAAAGUCUACACACCCCUGUUCAAACGGCAGCUUAUUGCGAUGUGAAAAAAAAAUGACACCAAGACAAACCAUGAGACAACUUUUCGUGGAUAUAAAAAGUCUACACACCCCUAUUCAAACGGCAGGUUAUUACGAUGUGAAAAAAAAAAUGACACCAAGACAAACCAUGAGACAACUUUUCGUGGAUAUAAAAAGUCUACACACCCUUGUUCAAACGGCAGGUUAUUGCCAUGUGAAAAAAAAAAUGACACCAAGACAAACCAUGAGAAAACUUUUCGUGGAUAUAAAAAGUCUACACACCCCUGUUCAAACGGCAGGUUAUUGCGAUGUGAAAAAAAAAAUGACACCAAGAUAAACCAUGAGACAACUUUUCGUGGAUAUAAAUAGUCUACACACCCCUGUUCAAACGGCAGGUUAUUGCGAUGUGAAAAAAAAAUGACACCAAGACAAACCAUGAGACAACUUUUCGUGGAUAUAAAAAGUCUACACACCCCUGUUCAAA